GACGAACCGAGCGAACGUUGUUCGGAAUCACUGGGCCUAAAGGGCGCGUAGGCGGGUGCUCAAGUCUGUGGUGAAAUCCUCCGGCUCAACCGGAGAACUGCCAUGGAUACUGGGUGUCUCGAGGGUGGUAGGGGUAUGCGGAACUAUCGGUGGAGCGGUGAAAUGCGUUGAUAUCGAUAGGAACUCCGGUGGCGAAGGCGGCAUACUGGACCACAUCUGACGCUGAGGCGCGAAAGCCAGGGGAGCGAACGGG
rnacentral:rRNA from 1 species